GGGAUUAAGAAGCUUGCUCUUAUGAAGUUAGCGGCGGACGGCGUGAGUAACACGUGGGUAACCUGCCCAUAAGACUGGGAUAACUCCGGGAAACCGGGGCUAAUACCGGAUAACAUUUUGAACCGCAUGGUUCGAAAUUGAAAGGCGGCUUCGGCUGUCACUUAUGGAUGGACCCGCGUCGCAUUAGCUAGUUGGUGAGGUAACGGCUCACCAAGGCAACGAUGCGUAGCCGACCUGAGAGGGUGAUCGGCCACACUGGGACUGAGACACGGCCCAGACUCCUACGGGAGGCAGCAGUAGGGAAUCUUCCGCAAUGGACGAAAGUCUGACGGAGCAACGCCGGGUGAGUGAUGAAGGCUUUCGGGUCGUAAAACUCUGUUGUUAGGGAAGAACAAGUGCUAGUUGAAUAAGCUGGCACCUUGACGGUACCUAACCAGAAAGCCACGGCUAACUACGU
rnacentral:rRNA from 1 species